GGCUUUGUAGCUUAUAAGCGGUCAAGCAGGCACCUAGAGUAGCCCUUACCCAGGUUCGAGUCCUGGUGAAGCCU
rnacentral:tRNA from 1 species